UGGAAGUUACGCGGAAAGUGACUUGGAUGUGGUAGUUGCCUCUGCGGCUCUGCCAUAUAAUAAGCCAGGAUCUACCAUACCUAUUGACUAACUAUGGAAGAUUAUACCAAAAUAGAGAAAAUUGGAGAAAGUACCUAUGGAGUUGUGUAUAAGGGUAGACACAUAACUGCAGGUCAAGUGGUAGCCAUGAAUAAAAUCAGACUAGAAGGUGAAGAGGAAGGGGUUCCUAGUACAGCAAUUUGGGAAAUUUCUCUAUUAAAAGAACUUCGUCAUCCAAAUAUAGUCAGUCUUCAGGAUGUGCUUAUGCAGGAUUCCAGGUUAUAUCUCAUCUUUGAAUUUCUUUCCACGGAUCUGAAGAAAUACUUGGAUUCUACUCCUCCUGGUCAAUACAUGGAUUCUUCACUUGUUAAGAGUUAUUUAUACCAAAUCCUGCAGGGGAUUGUGUUUUUUCACUCUAGAAGAGUUCUUCACAGAGACUUAAAACCUCAAAAUCUCUGGACUGAUGACAAAGGAACAACUGAACUCACUGAUUUUGGCCUUUCCAGAACUUUUGGAAUACCUAUUAGAGUAUAUACACAUGAGGUAGUAACACUCUGGUGUAUAUUGCUAGAAGUAUUGCUGGGUCAGCUAGUUACUUGACUCCAGUUGACAAUUGGAGUAUAGGCACCAUAUUUGUUGAACUAGCAACUAAGAAACCACUUUUCCAUGGGGAUUCAGAAGUUGAUCAACUCUUCAAGAUUUUCAGAGCUUUGGGCACUCCCAAUAAUGAAGUGUGGCCAGAAAUGGAAUCUUUACAGUUCUAUAAGAAUACAUUUCCCAAGUGGAAACCAGGAAGCCUAGCAUCUCAUGUCAGAAACCUGGAUGAAAACGGCUUGGAUUUGCUCUAAAAAAUGUUAAUCUAUGAUCCAGCCAAAUGAAUUUCUGGUAAAAUGGCACUGAAUCAUCCAUAUUUUCAUGAUUUGGACGAUCAGAUUAAGAAGAUGUAGCUUUCUGACG